CAUCGUCCGCUAUUUCCAGCACUUAAUCAAGUUAUCAUUGCGUUGGCUCUCGAUUUGAGCUAUUUCGUCCGCAACCAUUGAAGUAUUCAGUUUCUACAGCGACUCAUUUAGCUCACAUCCUUCUUUUUUUUUUUUUUUUGGCUCACAUCCUUCUCUUUCUAUGAAACCUGUAAACCGCAUUCACCGGUUCUAGCUCUAUAGCGGUUUCCCCGAGCAUUGCAAUUCUUUCGUUUUUACAUAAGAAAAGACAACGAGACUAAUUCCCUAACAGCUACGACAUCAGCUGCGCACUCGGAGCUCUGCGAAUCUAUCGAUAAAUCUUCGUCGAUAAAUCCCCUCCUUCGGCCAGCACUUUUGAUUCUACAACAUCAGCCACGAUAAAGAGUGGCACGGUCACCCUGAAAUAUGACUGCCGCCCCCACUGGAUCCCCAACAUCACUGGGCUAGAGUACUGUCAAUCUGACGAUGCCUGUAUGCCAUUGGAUCAAAGCGCUCUGAAUUGCUGCCUGAUCGUUGCAUGCUUGCAUUUGGAGCGCUCAUCAACGCCAUUAGAUCGAUGGGCUCUGUCAGUGCUUUGGCAAGAUGCAGCUGUGAUCACAAUUACAUUACCAGCACCUUGAUGAACUGAAAGAGGAAGAUCAUCAUAAUUAAUAAACUGAUGAAUGAAGAAUGAUAUAAAUUCAAUUUCAAGCUUUUAUUGUCAUUGCAUCGGAAUGCAAUGAAAUUUCAGAGACUACACACAGAGACUACACAUGAUGCAGGCCCCGAGCACCCAGGACGCGAACUUCUCAGAUGUCCUUCGCUCCAGCGCCAGGACACGACGGACCCUGGGUGCACCAGCAGCAGAAGACACAAUCCAGGCCCCAGGCCCCAGGCAAUGACCUCGCCGCCUCCGGCCCUCAAGAUCUCCACCCGGAACCGCUUCGCUCCCCUCCGCGAGACGGAACGCGACGCUGUGAUCGUCGGAGACUCCAUCGUCCGGCACGUCCGUGCUACAUUAGCUGAAGGUAAAGUGCACACUCACUGUUUCCCCGGUGCUCGUGUUCUCAAUGUUUCUGCGCAGAUACCUGCGAUCCUGAAGGGCGACGAGAGCAUCGGCGCUGUCGUGCUGCACGCGGGGGUUAACGACACCAAGCUGCGGCAGACGGAGACACUGAGGAGGGACUUCAGGAGCCUGAUCGAGACGGUACGCAGCACAUCGCCCGCGAAGACGAUCAUCGUGUCAGGACUUCCCACGUAUCGACGAGGACACGAAAGGUUCAGUAGACUUUUUGCCUUAAAAGAAUGGUUAUUGUCAUGGUGUAAAGAACAGAAACUGGUCUUUGUUAAUAAUUGUAAUCUUUUCUGGGAGUGUCCUAGGCUUUUCCGUGCUGAUGGCCUGCAUCCCAGCAGAGUCGGAGGGUUACUCCUGUCGGACAACAUCUCCAGGACGCUACGCUCCAUCUGACUAGAACCAGUUUCAUGCUAACCACCGAUCCGCCGAGCGACAUGUGUCACCCCACCUCAAUGUGUCACCCCGCCCCAUCGUCCAGAUUGCACUCUGGAGUACUUGGAGCGGUGUGGAAUAAAGGAUCAAGAGUCGUGCAGAAGUCUCCAGGAGGUCUGGGAUGAACGGUCUGUGUGAAGAGAGCGAGAGAUCAGUCAUGUGAUCAUCUGUGAAGAUGAUCUGAUUUUGACAUCUCACUUACUGAGAGUGUGUCAUACAGGUCAGAGGUCAUGGACUUGAGCUCAAGAGCUGUGUAUGUGUCUUCAUUGGGAUCAGAGAUCUACAGAGACAGAACAAAAUAUGAGGAGAUAAUAUAAGCAAAAAAUCAUAAUAUUAAAUAUAUAAUAUUUAGACAAUUGGUCAAUUUUAUUUAACAAUAUAUGCAUUUUACGAAACACUGGAAGAAAAAGCCAAAGUUAAUCAAAGUAUUUUUUUUUUUUAGUCCAACAUACACUUUUUUUUUUUUUUCUGGGAUCUUGAUGCUUUUCAUGUUUCAGUCACAUGUGAAGCAAUAAUGUGCACAAAAGGGCAAGAGUUUGCUGUGGUAAUGAACAAUGAUACCUGCUUAAGGAACGAGUGAAAAUCGAGACUAGGUACCCAGCAUGCAUUGCAGCAUGAAGAUUUUGAUUGUCACCAUUGUUGAGAUUCAUACACCGAUUCUUGAUGUCUCUCUUUGUGUUUAAAUGACACAGUAGUUCAAAAUGUUUGUGACUUAUGCUUUUAAAAUCAUUCAUAAAUUAUUACACUGUAUGACCCUAUACUGUAUAAUCAAAAAGCUGUUAUAAUUAAAGAGUUCAGACAUAACAUCUCACAAAGACUGAAUCUAGGUGAUGAUUUUGUUAACAUCAACAAACCAAUAUCACCUGGUUGCAGUCUCUUUUUGGUGUUACUUGCCAUAACAAAUGUGCUUUACAAACACAGUUACAGCAGCCCAAAAAAAUAUAAUGUUAUAAAGUCAAGGGUCAAGAGCCCAACUAAAGCAAACACUAAUCACUUUGAUGGUAACAACAAACGAAACAAUAAAACAUAUAAUUCUCAAUAAGUGCUUUUGUAGAUGUCAAAAAUAAAGUCAGUCUGGUUAGUAAUGAGCAGGUGAUGCUGUUUGUGGAGUUGUUUAAUCAUUCUCUGCUGAGAUCAUGAGAGAUUUAAUGUCUUUUAUUUCAGUUGAUUUCAUCGAAGGCUGUGUCUGGAAGUCAGUUGUAUGUUUGGAGAAGGUUCUUAUAACAGAAAUCUGUUAGCUGGGCGUGCACUCAUGAGCUCAUCAUGUGAGAGCACUGUGAUAUCUCUGUGAUAGUGUUGAGAAACAGGAAGCAGAAUGUCCCCCAGCGACUGAUAUUUGAGCUGCCUCCUCUCAACCUGCUCAACAUUUUGGGUUCACAAUGAGCUCAAUAUUACUCACACUGUGAGGAUCACCGUAUGAGAAUGGUGUGAUGUCACUGAUUAUCGCGUGAUAUUAGGCUGUAUUAAUUAGGUCAACCGGAUCUGGGAACACUUCCCAUAACACCUAAUGUACUUGUAAUCGCUAAUAUUAGUCUGUUUCAUUCUUAUUCCGAAGUCACCAUAGCCACCCAGAUCCAGUCCGUAUCCAGAUCAGAUGGUGGAUCAGUUAAAUAUAUUAGGGGUGUGCGAUAUUGACAAAUAAUAUAUCUCAAUAUUUGGUAACACUUUAUUUUGAUAGUCCACUUUAGACAUUCUACUAACAGUAAGUAAAUUUGCAACUACAUGUCAACUAGCAGUCAUUAGAGUAUUAGUAGACUGUCUGCUUAAUAUCUUUAACACUUUAUUUUGAUGGGUCCACAACAUACAACAUACUGACUAUGAGAAACUUUGCAAGUAUAUGUAAACUUAUUCUACUAA